CUGAUUCAGGGGGAGAGUGUGUGCGUGCGUUCACACGCGCGCCGCGCCACCCCAACCAAUCUUUUGUGCACGGUUUCACGGUCAACGAGACGCCGCGCGUGUGUUGGCAAGUCAAGUCCCCCCUCCCCCAGUGUUGGGGGUGGUGUGACUUCUUGCCAACCGCAUGCGUCUGCGCGCGCGUUCUCUACGCUUACACAAUCUCUUGUGCAAUCUCUGUCUAACGCGUUACCUAAAUAUUAACACAUA
rnacentral:misc_RNA from 1 species